UACGAACUGCGCAAACGUUAUUCGGAAUCACUGGGCUUACAGGGUGCGUAGGCGGCUUGUUAAGUAGGGUGUGAAAGCCCCCGGCUCAACCGGGGAAUGGCGCCCUAAACUGGCGAGCUGGAGUGAGAUAGGGGUGUGCGGAACUUCCGGUGGAGCGGUGAAAUGUGUUGAUAUCGGAAGGAACGCCGGUGGCGAAAGCGGCACACUGGAUCUCAACUGACGCUGAGGCACGAAAGCCAGGGGAGCGAACGGG
rnacentral:rRNA from 1 species